rnacentral:piRNA from 1 species
UGAGCAUUUUUUUCCUAUUCUGGGCUC